AGAAACAAAAACUUUCCUACGCACACGCAAGAUGUGGCACCCCGGCUUAGAGGAAACCGGAAUGCCCCGUAUUCCAGCCCAGGGACAAGUCUUCUGGAAUACGACACCAUUGGCAUAGAAAAAAUCAGCUCUUUAUUACUAUGGAAAAGGUUACAAGGUCACAUGGAUUAUAUCGCCACGGCGAUACUACACUUGCCUAGGGUAAUUCUACGCUAGCAGCGGAACAACCACCGUUGUGAUGAACUCCAUUCCGCACGGACUCUGGCUGGAACGCGUAUCCUAGCUCACAACUCGGAAUCCUCGACAAGCAAUCAUGCCAUGACCUGCAAACUGGCAUGACACGCCAGGUGAGUACUUUGAAUGUACUCGCAUGCUCACAACAAACAUCAACAUUAAGGCAAGACAACAUCAUAGCAAUCAAGGUUAGCUAAAGAUUUAUCAUCACCGAAGGGGUAGUUGAAAAUAACUAUACCAGACUACUCUCACCGUACUCUCGUGACCAACUCGUGGUCUCACCAAGAACUUCGGCGAAUAUCCUCAAGACCGACAGCAAGACAUGUCACCGGCAUGAUGCCCAACUGCUAUCAUACUCAGACAAGUUCUUCCAUCAUUAAUAUCACAAUUACGGUUGACCACCUACUGAGGUCUGGACGGGCUUUCCAAUACUGUGGACACGGCUAUUCGAAUAGAUUUGACACUCUGCAGAGGUUGCACACUUUACCCACAUCAUGGAGCACUAACCUUGUGAUCCCAUUCGGGUGGACCAGUGUUGCUCCAACGAAACCUGCCUGAUCCGUGACUCUCCCAUCGUACCACCGACAUUCAUCCUCCCCCGGAGUCCUGCCCUGGGUGGCCCCUGUGUCCUCAUGACACCUGCCACCGUCGUGGCCAAACUAAACUAUCCCAAACAGGGACGGGCCCAAAACAACUCAACUGGGCUCACAAGGUUAUCGCCGCCUACCGGGCCAGGGCAGCGCGCGCGCAUAACCUUCCCGCUUUGGAGGUACUGGUGAAAGAGCACACAAUCAGACCAAGUCAAGGCCGUCCCAUACCGACAAAUGUGGCUGCACGAAUAAGCCCGGACAGGUGACUCUCGAUCAACCAACUAAUUAUCUUAUCCCCAAAUAAUAUUUCUGUCAUAGCUGACACUCUGAUGUCAUAGUAAUCCACUAUCCAAUAAGCUGAAGCCACUGCUACGAUUCAUAUCCACAAACUGCCGGAUGAAACCAAAGUAAUCGUAGACAGUAAUCUCCAACGUCAUGGCAUCAACUAGUGGGUGAAAUACUAGUUAUUAACAAUCCCGUACUCAAUAUGAUAGUCACCUAUUCAAGAGUUCAUUCAAACAUUGCAUAAUCUAAUCCAUACUAUAAAUAUACUUGCGACUAAAGUAAUUGGUUAAACUAUGAUAUUGCAAUGCAAUUAUGAAAAUGAGACUUGUGGCUUGCCUCGGGGUGAAGGAACCAUCGGGAAGAAGUGCGGAGAGUCCACGGGAUUGAUUGCCGGAAACAGUUCUCUCUCGGAGGGGAAGUUCACGGGCAAGGGCAAAAUGGCCAUUUCCACUGCGUGAACAACAUGACGGGCUCGAUGAGACAAAGACGUGGGCUUUGGAAUCACCUUGAUCGGAGUUGCGGGUAAAAAGAUGUGGUGGUUUUUCCUGCCAGGGGCCUUUCUGCAAUUAUUUUAUUUGCAUAUGGGUCCUAGCCAGUUAUUCCACUGAUAAAAGAAAAGAGCACUAUGCUCUUCGGCUGCUUUGGGCCGAAAGUGUCUGCUGUUGCCGUAUGCACUGCCACUGCUGCCCCCUCGGCUAGCCCACCCGCACCCCCAUCGCUUGAAAAAAAGCGGAGGGAGGGCACCGAGUCGCUGCCAGUCUAGGCCCGCCCGCAGGGCCUUCGUCUUCCUCCUGCACUUGUCUAAUAGAAAAUGAGAGGCGGCUCCCGACAGCGAUUGCCGGAGCUACAGGCCGUCUCAGGCGGUGCUCCUCUCAUGGAUGGACUCGUCCUGAAGAGGCGCAUCCAGUGGUGGGUGAAAUAGAUGCUAGGGAUUGACAGAGCGGUGGCUGCACUGCCCGUGGUUGUCGGUGAUUUGGGCGGCGACAACCUCGUGACUAUGGAGGUGGAGGGGUAGGGAGGAGCUUGGGCAGAGCUUCGCCUGGCUAUGAGGAGGCUAACGGAGGUGGCAGCAAGGAGGGAGGAGGCCCAACUCACUCUGAUUUAAGAGGAGGCUUGGCGUCGGCCGUGGUGGCAAUGGGUGGAGAGGG
rnacentral:lncRNA from 1 species